rnacentral:tRNA from 1 species
CCAAUAGCUCAGUAGGUAGAGCAACGCCCUUUUAAGGCGUGGGUCGUUGGUUCGAACCCAACUUGG